rnacentral:rRNA from 1 species
GAUUGAACGCUGGCGGCAGGCCUAACACAUGCAAGUCGAGCGGUAGCACAGGGAGCUUGCUCCUGGGUGACGAGCGGCGGACGGGUGAGUAAUGUCUGGGAAACUGCCCGAUGGAGGGGGAUAACUACUGGAAACGGUAGCUAAUACCGCAUAACGUCUUCGGACCAAAGUGGGGGACCUUCGGGCCUCACACCAUCGGAUGUGCCCAGAUGGGAUUAGCUAGUAGGUGAGGUAAUGGCUCACCUAGGCGACGAUCCCUAGCUGGUCUGAGAGGAUGACCAGCCACACUGGAACUGAGACACGGUCCAGACUCCUACGGGAGGCAGCAGUGGGGAAUAUUGCACAAUGGGCGCAAGCCUGAUGCAGCCAUGCCGCGUGUGUGAAGAAGGCCUUCGGGUUGUAAAGCACUUUCAGCGAGGAGGAAGGGUUCAGUGUUAAUAGCACUGWWCAUUGACGUUACUCGCAGAAGAAGCACCGGCUAACUCC